rnacentral:tRNA from 1 species
GGCCCCGUAGCUCAGUGGAGUGAGAGCGGCUCUCUUCUAAAGAGCGGGUCGCGAGUUCGAAUCUCGCCGGGGCCCCCA